UACGUAGGUGGCAAGCGUUGUCCGGAUUUACUGGGCGUAAAGAGCGCGCAGGCGGUCGUGCAAGUCGCGUGUGAAAGCCCCCGGCUCAACUGGGGAGGGUCACGCGAUACUGCUCGACUCGAAGGCAGGAGAGGGAAGUGGAAUUCCCGGUGUAGUGGUGAAAUGCGUAGAUAUCUGGAGGAACACCGGUGGCGAAGGCGGCAUCCUGGACCGACAUUGACGCUGAACGGCGAAAGCUAGGGGAGCAAACGGG
rnacentral:rRNA from 1 species